rnacentral:lncRNA from 1 species
UCUCUUUUUAUAAUCUGCUCAUUUUACAGAUGAGGAAACUGAUGCUCAUAGAGGGGGAGUGAUUUGCCCAGGAUAAGCCAGCUGGUCAGUGGCUAGUCCAGUGAUAUUUUUACUCCAUCACUUACUGUUCAUGAAACACGUAAAAAGACAGGGAUGGAAAAGCAAACAGAUGCCUGCAUUGAAUGACUUCUGGAAGCUUCUUGCAUGUUACCCUUCAUAUACCAGCUCCUUGAAAAAGGGAUGAUGGUGAUGAGGAAGAUGAUGAUGGUUUCUACCUAGUAAAAAAAUCAAGUUUAUUUUGUGUGAGCAGCUUCACCAUAGAGGAAAUGUACACAGACACAGAUUCAAUGUUCAGAAGAGUUCCUGUACAUAAAACACAGACUACACAAUGUCCCGAGAGGACUUAUGAUGAGAAAAAUGUCAAUCACAGCUUUAAGCCCUUGGUUUGGAAGGAGCUAAUGAGAAAGCGGAUUGGAAGAGUCUCCAUAUCCUGUUGAAGAGAAUUCCCAUUCUUGGGUAGCUGACCCCCUUUCCAGCCACCUGGGUGACCUGGACAACCCCAGCUCAGGCUGGCCAGCUUCCUAGGAACCAGAGGGAGGCAAAAGCUCAGGCCUCCCUGACACACCCAUGGCCUGGACGCUGCCUCUGGGGCACUCUUCUGGCUUGCACACAUCGCCUCCAUGUUGUCUGCAGUGAGCCUCGUGGACCACUGUCCUCCUCUAGCUCAGGUGACUUGCCUUGAAAUUCAAUCAUUCUUUUUUCUGAUUGAUCAAGUCUGCUGCUGAAGUUCUCCAUUGAGUUUUUAAUUCCUUAUUUCUAUUGUAUUCUUCAGCACCACAAUUU